GUUAUUAUGGGCGGGACCAAAUUAACAUAAAUAAACUUCCUGUAAUCCCUCGAACGUGAUGAAAAAUGUUUAGAAUACAUAGUUUGCAUCUGUCGUUUCAUGGACAUUUACACUAAAAGAUGUAAAAGAUAUUUUGUGCUUUAAUAGUACAUCUCUCUGAGGACAAUAGUUGGUUAUGGCUGUGGAUAAUAAUCAGGAUACCAAAGUUAAAGAAAGGAGACAUGUUUCUUUGUAGUGAAAGUGCAAGAAAUAACACCAUAUUCUGACUUACAAAAUGAUCACUCAUACUGCAUGCAAUACAGGGAAAGGCAUCAAACCUAGCCUCUAGAAGACAUACAUUUGUAGAAUGUAUUUUCUAUGAAGUACACGUCGCAGAGGAUACUUUAUGUACCAAAAAAUCAAAUACAAAUUGUGUCAGCUCCUUUGACAAACUUAAGACGGAAGUUAACCAGAGUAUGAAAUCACCAUUAUCAAUAUGUAAAAUCCAACCAGUGACUAUAUAUUUAUUCAAAUAGUGUCAUGAAUGGAAUUAAAAAAGGACUUGGAAAAUUAACAUGUUCUAAUAUUGC